AACAAAAACAUCUUUUUUUGAAUUUAAUAAAAAGUAUAACCUGCCCAAUGAAUUUUUAAUGGCCGCAGUAUUUUGACUGUGCAAAGGUAGCAUAAUCAUUAGUUUUUUAAUUGAAAGCUGGAAUGAAUGGUUGGACGAAAUAUUAACUGUUUCAUUUUAAAUUAUUAUAAAAUUUUAUUUUUUAGUAAAAAAGCUAAAAUUUUAUUAAAAGACGAGAAGACCCUAUAAAUCUUUAUAUUUAGUUAAUAAAUUUAUGUAAGAAGUUAAAUUAAUUUUAUUAAUUAUAAUAUUUUAUUGGGGUGAUAUUAAAAUUUAUAAAACUUUUAAUUUAAUAAACAUUAAUUUAUGAAUUAAUGAUUUUAUACUAUAAAUUAUAAGAAUAAGUUACUUUAGGGAUAACAGCGUAAUUUUUUUGGAGAGUUCAUAUUGAUAAAAAAGAUUGCGACCUCGAUGUUGGAUUAAGAGAUAAUUUUAGGUGCAGAAGUCUAAAAAUUAAGUCUGUUCGACUUUUAAAUUCUUACAG
rnacentral:rRNA from 1 species